rnacentral:rRNA from 1 species
GACGAACGCUGGCGGCGUGCCUAAUACAUGCAAGUUGAGCGCUGAAGGUUGGUACUUGUACCAACUGGAUGAGCAGCGAACGGGUGAGUAACGCGUGGGGAAUCUGCCUUUGAGCGGGGGACAACAUUUGGGAACGAAUGCUAAUACCGCAUAAAAACUUUAAACACAAGUUUUAAGUUUGAAAGAUGCAAUUGCAUCACUCAAAGAUGAUCCCGCGUUGUAUUAGCUAGUUGGUGAGGUAAAGGCUCACCAAGGCGAUGAUACAUAGCCGACCUGAGAGGGUGAUCGGCCACAUUGGGACUGAGACACGGCCCAAACUCCUACGGGAGGCAGCAGUAGGGAAUCUUCGGCAAUGGACGAAAGCCUGACCGAGCAACGCCGCGUGAGUGAAGAAGGUUUUCGGAUCGUAAAACUCUGUUGGUAGAGAAGAACGUUGGUGAGAGUGGAAAGCUCAUCAAGUGACGGUAACUACCCAGAAAGGGACGGCUAACUACGUG